rnacentral:rRNA from 1 species
UUUAUUUGUUCAUCACCCUGUAGCCCAAGGCUGGUUGCCCACUGAAGCUAAGCAAGGUUGAGCUGGUCAGUACCUGGACGAGAGACCUCCUGGGACCCCCUGAUACGAAUGUAA